rnacentral:lncRNA from 1 species
CCUUGCAGGUCCUGGAGAAAUCCUCUAUUCUGCACCUUCAGCUGGCUGUAGGUACCUCAACAUCCCUCUCACAGUGGAAUGGGGCCGUAGCAAGGCUUCAAGAACAGGUCACUCCACCCACCACAUGUGCAAGAUCAAGUGUUAUUUCUGAGGAUGUGAUUUUUUUCCAUCAUUGAUGGGAGAGAUGAGAACUAUCUUCAAGUCAUUACUGUGUCAAUACUCAGUUAUCAAGGAAAAACAUUAAAGGUAUUUUGACACAUAUGGAAUAGAACAGUAUCAAACAACUUCUUCAAAAUGAAGAGAAAGUAAAAAUAACAAGUCAGCAACACAUUUGAAAUUCCUAUAAUAAUGUGAAACACUAUUCUACCAUUUCUCUGGAAGAGGAUUUUCUGUGAAGUUGCCUCUAUAUGUGCAAGGCAACUGUUUACCUGACUAGCUCCUAAACUCUCUACAUUUCAAGCCAAAAGAUCAGAGAAAAUGGACAAGUUUGAGAAUGUCACCUCAGCUGGGAUUUUUGAUCACAGAAGGUUCUUAGUGACAACAGUGGUUCAUGGGAUAAGAUGAUGGAGUGUUUGAAAGAUAUUAGUGGUGACUUGAGGAGAGUUUUGCAAAGACACAACAAAUGCUGAUAUUGUUGUGAGCUGUGAUGCUCCAAACCAUCUAUCUGCUGAGCACUUCUGGUCUGGAGAAAAUUUGAAUUAUGACUGUUUUCCUGCUGUCCAGGCUUGGAAAACAACAGAAUCCAAGAUCUGCCAUUAGAGUAUUCUUAAUGUUUUAAAGACAUGGGAGCCAACAAAUGUUUAAUUUUUUUU